AUUUUGUGAUGGGGACACUUCCUUAAUAGUGACUUAAAUCGAUCCCAUGCUUCGUACAAAUUUUCACUUUCAUAUUGCUUGAAUUUGGCAAUCUCACGGCGAAGCU
rfam:Gossypium raimondii chromosome 1, whole genome shotgun sequence.